rnacentral:rRNA from 1 species
CUGGCUCAGGAUGAACGCUGGCGGCGUGCUUAACACAUGCAAGUCGAACGGGGUUACGAUGUGUGAGGAAAGAAGCUUGCUUUAGGACUAAACUUUCGUAACCUAGUGGCGGACGGGGUGAGUAACGCCGUGGGUAACCCUGCCGUAUGCCGGGGGGACAACAGUUGGAAACGACUGCUAAUACCGCAUGAGCGCACAGAACCGCAUGGUUCAGUGUGAAAAACUCCGGUGGCAUACGAUGGACCCGCGUCUGAUUAGCCAGUUGGCGGUGUAACGGACCACCAAAGCGACGAUCAGUAGCCGGCCUGAGAGGGUGAACGGCCACAUUGGGACUGAGACACGGCCCAAACUCCUACGGGAGGCAGCAGUGGGGAAUAUUGGACAAUGGGGGAAACCCUGAAUCCAGCGACGCCGCGUGAGUGAAGAAGUAUUUCGGUAUGUAAAGCUCUAUCAGCAGGAAAGAAAAUGACGGUACCUGACUAAGAAGCCCCGGCUAACUACGUGCCAGCCGCCGC